AUUGAACGCUGGCGGCAUGCCUUACACAUGCAAGUCGAACGGCAGCACGGGGCAACCUGGUGGCGAGUGGCGAACGGGUGAGUAACGCAUCGGAACGUACCCGGAAGUGGGGGAUAACGUAGCGAAAGUUACGCUAAUACCGCAUAUUCUGUGCGCAGGAAAGAGGGGGAUCUUCGGACCUCUUGCUUUCGGAGCGGCCGGUGUCAGAUUAGCUAGUUGGGGAGGUAAAGGCUCACCAAGGCGACGAUCUGUAGCGGGUCUGAGAGGAUGAUCCGCCACACUGGAACUGAGACACGGUCCAGACUCCUACGGGAGGCAGCAGUGGGGAAUUUUGGACAAUGGGGGCAACCCUGAUCCAGCCAUGCCGCGUGAGUGAAGAAGGCCUUCGGGUUGUAAAGCUCUUUCGGCCGGGAAAAAAUCGCAUGGAUUAAUACUCUGUGUGGAUGAUGGUGCCGGAAUAAGAAGCACCGGCUAACUACGUGCCAGCCGCCGCAGUAAAAC
rnacentral:rRNA from 1 species